GACGAACGCUGGCGGCGUGCCUGAUACACGCAAGUCGAGCGGACAGAAGGGAGCUUGCUCCCGGAUGUUAGCGGCGGACGGGUGAGAAACACGUGGGUAACCUGCCUGUAAGACUGGGAUAACUCCGGGAAACCGGAGCUAAUACCGGAUAGUUCCUUGAACCGCAUGGUUCAAGGAUGAAAGACGGUUUCGGCUGUCACUUACAGAUGGACCCGCGGCGCAUUAGCUAGUUGGUGAGGUAACGGCUCACCAAGGCGACGAUGCGUAGCCGACCUGAGAGGGUGAUCGGCCACACUGGGACUGAGACACGGCCCAGACUCCUACGGGAGGCAGCAGUAGGGAAUCUUCCGCAAUGGACGAAAGUCUGACGGAGCAACGCCGCGUGAGUGAUGAAGGUUUUCGGAUCGUAAAGCUCUGUUGUUAGGGAAGAACAAGUGCAAGAGUAACUGCUUGCACCUUGACGGUACCUAACCAGAAAGCCACGGCUAACUACGUGCCAGCCGCCGCGGUAAAAC
rnacentral:rRNA from 1 species